rnacentral:misc_RNA from 1 species
AGAAGAAGAAGAAGAAGAAGAAAGAGGAAAUCUACAUCCAUUGGGAACAAGCCACAAUAUAAUCCAAAUUUUCACUAGUGAUAGUACACUAAAAUAACAUUAGACAAGACAAAAAUUUUGACCAACUAGAUGAUAAAAUCUAAAUUCUCCAAUCCUUCAUAUCUUGGUAUGCCUACAGACAUAGAGAUAUGAUAUUUAAAUGAUGAACAAAACCUUUGCAGCUUCUUGAAUUAAAUUCUUCAAGUCCCUGGAAUGGUAGUGUUUUAUUAAUAUGGCUCCCGUAAUGAGCUACUCUGUGCCAGCAGAAUCGGCACCUGAAUUGGACAAAUGACUCGUUACCCAUGGAACUACAAAUCCAUGUUCAGAUAAAAGAACAAGGGAACAAAAAUUAACCUAAUUUUUUAUGGUACAAGUGGAGCAUCUUGAUUACUCAGCUUGGCAUAAUUUUGAGGAGUUCAAUAUCAAACAGCAGAGUUUUGUCUAUCAGUCCCUGGUUCCUCAACACAAAAUCCAAGGCUCUUUGGCCCUGCCAAGCCCAUAAUUUUCCUGUUUGAGGAAAAGCACACAAGUACAAUGCAAGAACCAGCAAAAAGACUCGAGCAUUACCGAAAAUGUUGUUGGUCUUGGGCCACUCUUGUUGAAGUCAUUCUCAGGAUAUCCCAGUUCUGGGGGCACAAUUAUCCUGCAUCACUGUGAAGUAUACGUGAAACUUGAGCACAUAUUAAAAGCAAAUUCUCUUUCAAGGAAAGAAAGAUUCAAAAUUGUAAUCAUAUAUUAGUAUAUUACUUCAAUGAUAUUUCCAUUACAAGGGUUACAGAUUUGGGAAAACCAGUUGCAGCACCUUCUAACUCCACCCAAAGCCAUGCCUGAAACAGCUUCCUCAAAAGCAGUUAUUACCUCACCUGAACGUUCAAGAACCAGGCAUCCCCAUUAAAAUUCUCAAUUUUGAGUAUAAAGGAAUCACGUGAACCUUGUAACAAAACCAACAUGAUCAAAUCAUGCUCAAGUCUCAACUUCAAUCCCAAUCAGUGCAGUUGCACCACACAACUGAACAAAUAUUGCCAGCUUCUGAUAUAAUCUCAUAAAAGGAAAAAACUACUGAGUAGACACACUGCAAAUGUAAUGAUCAAAGAAAAGCAUGAAUGCAGAUAAAGAUUAAUAGUAGAGGAGAAAGUUCCUAACAAAGGAAUGAGCACAAACGUGUAGUUCCAUCUGAAAUAUUAGGAUAACGUUGCUCAAUCUUUCAAAUAGGAAAUAAGUUUUCACCUGGCCAGAUCGUAGUUUGAAUUUGAAAAGGUCCUUCUCAUUUGCCUGCAUAUCAGGAAACUGCAGAACAUUGUUAAGCUAGUCAUGUGCCUUUACUCAAGAAAUGUAGAAGCAAUUCAUACCACAAAGGAACCACCCUAUGUCUUGUGUAACGGUUCGGAAGUUCCCCACUCUUAUUUUUGGCAGUUGGCAAGACCGUCACAAGCUGUCUCUUGCCCUAUGGAGCUAACUAGUGUGAAUCUGUACAGGUAAC